rnacentral:rRNA from 1 species
CCUACGGGUGGCAGCAGUGAGGAAUAUUGGUCAAUGGACGAAAGUCUGAACCAGCCAAGUAGCGUGAAGGAUGACUGCCCUAUGGGUUGUAAACUUCUUUUAUGAAGGAAUAAAGUGAGGCACGUGUGCCUUUUUGCAGGUACUUUAUGAAUAAGGACCGGCUAACUCCGUGCCAGCAGCCGCGGUAAUACGGAGGAUCCGAGCGUUAUCCGGAUGUAUUGGGUUUAAAGGGAGCGUAGUUGGGUUGUUAAGUCAGUUGUGAAAGUUUGCGGCUCAACCGUAAAAUUGCAAUUGAUACUGGCAGUCUUGAGUACAGUUGAGGUAGGCGGAAUUCGUGGUGUAGCGGUGAAAUGCUUAGAUAUCACGAAGAACUCCGAUUGCGAAGGCAGCUUACUAAACUGCCACUGACAUUGAGGCUCGAAAGUGUGGGUAUCAAACAGGAUUAGAUACCCGUGUAGUC